CUGGCAGCGCCCGCAAGGCCAGGAGGCGGUUGUGGGAUCCCCGGGCACAGUCUGGAGGCUCUUCAAGGCAGGCGCCGCCUUCUCUUGGUUCCCAAAUAGCAAUGGUCCCGGACCCUGCCUCCAGCCCUGCCCCAGCCAAGACUCUCCAGGGCUCUGUCUGUCUUCUCCGGAGUGAGCCAGCCAGACCCGCAACAGCUGCUCAGGCCACGUGAGACCCACAAGGUUUCACAAUAGGGGAUGAGGAUUUCUAUGCAGGAAUUCACAGGAUGCGCGGUUUGUACACGACUCUGGGUUGGGAAUGUAAAACACCCCGGACUGAUAAAUGAUUUUGUGAAUUGAUUUUUCAGACAAGUCAUGGCUUCCCAGACUCUAUCUGACAUCACCCCUACUUAUGUUCUGAAGAAGCUGGAGCUGUGAACGUCACACCCCUGGUCACCAGGGCGCUAGCCUGCAUUUUGCUACCUCUUCAGUACAAGUGGUUUGAUUUUGUGCUUCCCUGGGCAGUUUUCUGUGACUGAGAAUCCCUGACCUAAGAGCAAACAAAACACACCAGCCAACCAGCAGUAUCGUGAAAAACAAUGGUUACAGAGGCAGACACCUGGGUUUUCAAAAGUGGAUUUAAAUUCCGACAGUCUCCAUGUGACCAGCCCUUUAAAAUAUGAAAUGCUCUAAAAUGGAAAGGCAACCAUGUGUUGAAGUCCGAAGAGAAGGCAAAGGAGCUAACUACAGAAGGUUGGUAACACUUCCGAAUGACUGGCAAAGGGACAGCCAUGUGCAGAAUUUGAGUUACCUUGAUGAAACCACAAUGGAGACUAACGUCUGUUGGGGCGAGUAUAAAUGAACCCCUGGAAGAUAUUUGCUCAACAGAGAAAACCUCCAUAAAGGGUGUACUUGUGGAUGCGUAGCUGCAGGGAAAAGACAUUCAGGAGAAGGCAGCAGCUACAGUGCUGUAGUUGAGCAAUAUGAAGGAGAUACUCUGCGAUCGUGGCUAUUGCAUGCCCCGAGAGUCAAGAGGUCAUCAGACGCUCAUCGAAGGUUCCAGCCACCACUCCCUCCCAGCUUCAUGUGCUCCUGCGGGAAGAUACAGAGUUGGCUGGGCUGGUUUACCACAACAGUUUCCAUCCUCUGGGCCUUCGCCUUCAACUCAUCCUCCAACCCACAGUCUUCCCUCCAGGUAGCAACCAGGUGUUGGUCACAGUGUUUGCUCUGUGACAGCUCAUUGAGUCGUGGUCCUAGGAUGUGCAAACCUUCCAGCAGGGUAAUUACACAAAUGCUGAGGAGAAACCCCAGGCAAGCAAGGGAAGAAACAAGUCUAAAAUUGCAUCCCCGGGGAAAACAAAACAGAGUCACAGCUCUUUGGGGACUAAAUGCAGUGUGGCAUGGCACCGCCGUGUGAAGUGCUACGAAGCCCUCUGGCUGUCCCUGCAAAUGAAAUGGAAAUGUGGAUUUCUGGAACAGUGGCUACCCAGUGACCCCGCUGCCCUUUCUAUACCGGCAAGCUAAAAUGCUAACUGUGCCCCCUCCUAAAAACUGCUCAUGAUUCAACUCAAGGGACAGUCCCGUCCGGAAACUGUGGCCCUUCUUCUGCCUAAUUACUUCAGCUUUUAGCUUCCCACACUUGCACAAGGCCCUGAACUCUGUGUCCUCACCCACGUAACCGGGGUCUCUCGCUGUGCUUCUGUGUUCUUAAUGCACCAAGGUCCUCCUUACACUCCUGCCCGGAGGCAGGUGAGUGACCAGCAAGCCAUUAACUGGGGCCCCUUCCCACUCCUUGUGAAAAUGGAGAACUACGCCCUGGGAAGAUUCUGCUAGUUGUUGGGAAUGACUGAUCUUUGUAAAUAAUCUACACCCUUCCCUAAAGAGUUCACACAUUCCCCCCUUCCCCCCGUUUAUUUCUCCCCUCACUGCCCAUGCGUGUUGCUCCACGGUAAUGUGACUGAAGCUUCCAGAAAGGUGUUUAUCGGAAAGAAGUCAUCACAGUCACUGAAACCAGGUCCACGCCUUACCUGUUUGUCUUCUGGAAUGUUCACACAAAUGGGAAUCUGUACUUGGGAGGCCAGCUUGUAGUCACGGUGGAUGAGUCCUUUGUGUGUGACCACAGAGAAGCCAGGACACUCACACCGUGUCAGUGGCCCUACACACCCAUCCCUGCAGUCUGACUGACUGUCUCAGCCAUGAGUCUGCCCUUCCCCACCAUCCGCUCCGCCCUCUUCCCCGCCCUUCUUCUUUGCCCUUCCUGCACCCCUCCCCUUCCUGACCCUCCCCUUCCU